rnacentral:sRNA from 1 species
GCCGGGCAAGGUGGCGCAUGCCUGUAAUACCAAUUUGGGAGGCCAAGGCAGGAGGAUUGAGAGUUCAAAGACAGCCUCAACAGAUUAAUGAGGUAUUUAGCAACUCAGUGAGACCCUGUCUCUA